CGUUUCCCAUUGAUUCUAAUUUCUAUCAUUGUUGAUAAAGGGAGGGUUUUUAUAAGAUCAAAUUUCUUUGAUGUUUUCAAUGAAAUUGUGUGAAUUCUUGAUCACGUUUGUUGAUUUGGGGUUCCGCAUCAAAGAAGUAAAUUAGCAAGAUAGCAAGUAGGUGCACAUAAGUACAAAAGCUUUACAAGUCAAUCAUAAUGUCAAUAAGGUCCCAAUGUCCUCAUCAAAGGAAAGAGGAUAACUUUAAAUAGAAAGCCCAAGAUCUGGAACUAUAAAUCUUCCAAAUCUAUUAAAAGGGAAAACUAAGGUUUUUAAAGGUCCUUAUAUGAUGGCCUGCAUCAUAGUCAAGGAAUAAGAGAUAUGAGUUUUCUCCUGCUUUUAUCACUCCAGCUCCCCUGCCAAACAGAUCUCUUUACCACAGAGCCUGCUAUCACUCAAUUCAAUCUGAGGAACUCAACGGCAGCACAUCGACAAUGGAGAGAGAACAAACAGCAAAAACCGAUGAUCCUAUGUCUCAAUUUCCUCUUGUGCAGAAAAAGACCCAUUGGCUAGAAUCUUUCCCUCUUUUGAAAAUUGUCAAUAGUUAGAAUUCUGUCUUUCACUGCCUCCAAACUGAAGAGAGGAAUUCAAGGAGGUAGAUUUAACUUCCACGAAAAUUUCCUAGGGAAAUCAUAAAGUAGAAAGCCAAAUUAAGCAAUGUGCAAAUAGAAAGAUUUCACUGUAAAGGAGCUGCAAUCGUCCAACCUGCAGUUCUGUUUAUCUUUACUAUAAAACGCACAUUGAAAUUGAAUAUUACAGACAUGCAUGGGAAAACUGACAUAUAAGGUUGCUCUUUACAUAUGAAGGAACGAAGUCUAAGGUCUGUGAGGCCAUAUAAACUUAAGAAGCACCAAGAAUCCUUUCGUCUGCCAGCCAAAAGCAUAGAAAGAGAAAAGAAAUCUCGAUAGAAUCAACAAAAGAUGCUACCCUAAUAUCCCACAUAACCAGAAGACCUCCAAAGAAGGAUUCUCAAAACCAAACCUUAAAUCUCGAGGCCCACACACUACGAACAAUCAUCGAAUUAACAAUUUCGUUACUCCAUGAAAUCUGCAGCUACUAAUAUAUUUUUUUAUUUCGUGACCACACACUAUAAACGACACUUUUUGAUUUAGUGACCAAGCUGCAGCUUUAACAAUGUGUGCCCCCCGCCCUAACUUAAUAGAUUAGAAUCCCUAAGAUCGUUCCAGUUGAAAGAUAAAACUAUGUCAGUUCAUGUUUGCUCAGUGAAGGUGACUGAUCUUAUCACUGUUGUGCGCCUACUCUAGCACAAGGUCAAUAAGACGGCAAUCCAUUGAACCCGUCCUUUUUGACUUGGAGGACCUUGCUAAAGCAAAACUGUUUGAGACUAACAGUUCCUAAAAAAUUAAAAUCUGUAUUAGAUAAACAAAAUCCAAUUUCAUCCAAUAACUCAAACAAAUCAAAUCCUAUUCUGCUAAACUACAGACAACGAAAAUUUAAGAGAACUUGAGUUUCUGUAUAUAUACAACGAGAGAAAAAGAGAAAUGAAAAUUACAAAUAUAGUAGAAGUUAACUCAUUUGACAGAGAUGGGAGAGACACGAUAUUGCAAGAGGGAACGACGGCCGUAUUAAGAGCUUUUGCGCGCGACACAGUGAGAGAGAGAGAGAGAGAGAGAGAGUCAUACCGGGAUGUGGAAGAGCGGCGGUGGCUUGCAGAAACGUGGUGAUGACAAGGUCGUCUGAUAUGGCACUGUGCCGAGGACGACAGUUAUGCGUGCGAGGAGACAAUCGAGAGAGCGAAGAUGAAAUGAAACAGGAGCAUUA
rnacentral:lncRNA from 1 species